GAUGAACGCUGGCGGCGUGCCUAAUACAUGCAAGUCGAACGCUUCACUUCGGUGAAGAGUGGCGAACGGGUGAGUAAUACAUAAGUAACCUGGCAUCUACAGGGGGAUAACUGAUGGAAACGUCAGCUAAGACCGCAUAGGUGUAGAGAUCGCAUGAACUCUAUAUGAAAAGUGCUACGGGACUGGUAGAUGAUGGACUUAUGGCGCAUUAGCUUGUUGGUAGGGUAACGGCCUACCAAGGCGACGAUGCGUAGCCGACCUGAGAGGGUGACCGGCCACACUGGGACUGGGCCACGGCCCAGACUCCUACGGGAGGCAGCAGUAGGGAAUUUUCGGCAAUGGGGGAAACCCUGACCGAGCAACGCCGCGUGAAGGAAGAAGUAAUUCGUUAUGUAAACUUCUGUCAUAGAGGAAGAACGGUGGAUAUAGGGAAUGAUAUCCAAGUGACGGUACUCUAUAAGAAAGCCACGGCUAACUACGUG
rnacentral:rRNA from 1 species